ACAUGCCUACAACAUAACAUUAAUGCACCGGAUCCCAUUAUAACUCCACAGUUAAGCACACUCAGGCUAGAGUAGUACUGGGAUGGGUGACCACCCGAGAAGUCCUAGUGUCUUACAUGCC
rnacentral:rRNA from 1 species